AGUGAACGCUGGCGGUAGGCCUAACACAUGCAAGUCGAACGGCAGCACAGUAAGAGCUUGCUCUUACGGGUGGCGAGUGGCGGACGGGUGAGGAAUACAUCGGAAUCUACUUUUUCGUGGGGUAUAACGUAGGGAAACUUACGCUAAUACCGCAUACGACCUACGGGUGAAAGCAGGGGAUCUUCGGACCUUGCGCGAUUGAAUGAGCCGAUGUCGGAUUAGCUAGUUGGCGGGGUAAAGGCCCACCAAGGCGACGAUCCGUAGCUGGUCUGAGAGGAUGAGGAGACACACUGGAACAGAGAAAGGUGACAGCCUCCUGCGGGAGGCAGCAGUGGGGAAUGUGGGGAAAUGGGCGGAAGCCUGAUCCACCGUUGUCGCGGGGGAGAAGAAGGCUUUCGGUUUGUAAAGCCUUUUUGUGGGGAAAGAAAAGCGGCGGGUUAAUACCCCGCUGUCCGGACGGUACGGAAAAAAUAAGCACCGGCUAACUUCGUG
rnacentral:rRNA from 1 species